ACCUCCGGUGGUCGCCUCACCUCCCGUCCGGCCUCACCUCCGGUCGUCGCCUUACCUCCCCUCGUCGCCGCCUCACCUCCCCUCCGGCCUCACCUCCUGUCAUCGCCUUACCUCCCCUCACCUCACCUCCCCUCCGGCCUCACAUUCGGUCGUCGCCUCACCUCCCCUCGUCAGCGUUGGUCGUAAGUGCCUCACAUCUGGCCAAACCCUUUGCUACUUCUUCCUCAUCGAUUCCGUGAAACCCACGCUUCCGGAUCUAGCUUCUCACGCUCGAUCUGUGCCCGCCUUCAUCAGCGAUUUGCUUGUUGAUUUUUUUUUUGGGCUUUCUUCACCUGCGAUCUGUGCCGGCUUUAACCUGCAAUUUGGUUGUUGAUUCGGUUGGUGAAUCUUCUCAAUUUGGGGUUUUCUUCACCUGCGAUCUGUACCGGCCUUAAGCUGCGACUUGCUUGUUGAUUCGGUUGUUGAUUCUUUGUUUUGGGGUUUCUUCACCUGCGAUCUGUGCCGGCCUAAAUCUGUGAUUUUGUUGUUGAAUCUUGGUUUUCUGGUUUUCUUCGCCUGUGAACUAUGUCGCCCUUCUCACGCACGAUCAUUGCUGUCAGAGAGGCUUCAUGCUGCCAACCGUGGCCUUCGCUUCACAUCUUGCCAAUUGCGGGUUUUUUGUACACCCCCACUGUUCGUCCCUGCAGCUUGCUUGGGCCGAUCCCUGUUUUCGGGUUCAAAUUAAUUUGUGAGGCGUGGGUAUCUCUGUGCUUGCCUGUGGACAUCCUUGAGCUUGGUAUAUUUGCUAUAGACAGGUUACAUUUUUCCUAACUUUUCUAUUUAUCCAAUGCCGGUGAAAUAAAUCAAACGAAUUUGCAUGCUAGUUGGUAUAAUGAAGAUGAUGCAUAUUGGUAAUUCAAAUCAUACUUUUGCAUUUUCUGCUACAUGUUCAAUAUCGAUAUCUGAUAAUACUUGCGCAUAUUCUCGUUGCUAUAUGAAAUCGCCAUGUUAUUCAUACUCUCCUCUCGGAUGUCGUGAUGAAGAAUUGUAGAUACACUGAGGGAAAGAUAUACUGCUUGGAAAGAUGUGGUCCGGCGAUGAUGACGGUUCCCAAUUAAGAUUAGAUGGAUGGCAUUGAUUAAAAAAUCAAUGCAACCACAUUUUAGUUGGAAACCACUUGAGCCAUUUGUGGGAACGAACCAAAUAAACCUUAUUUCGACGAACAUGCAUUUGUACAUAGGAGACAGAUAUAUAAUUAAACAUGUAAUUUAUCGUUGAUUUAAGUAGACCCUUGUAGCCAUUAUACACAAUAUUUGGUAGUGAAAAACAAGUCUUGCAUUUAACUCAUAUUCAUGCAUCCAUCAUGCACUCUUUAAUUAUAAACUACAGAUGCAUCCAUUCGAGAAAGUUUCUAAGUCCAAACAGAAGCAACGUGGGCUCGCAGAUGAGUCACCUAUUGAGGCUAGCGGUGGAAUUCAUAUUGAUACAAGAACAAGGAGUCAAAAUUGGAGCAACAUGUUGGAUGCACAAUUGUUGGGGCUGAUGAGAGAUGAAUAUACAUUUGGUAAUUGCGUAAAUGGGUCGUUCACUCCAACUGCUUGGAAGAGGAUGGUAAAUGUAAGGUACCGGACUUCUAAAACUAUAAAGUUACGGUGUACAUUUAAAUGGUUCCGGUGAGGUUGCGGUGGAAUAUAACAUACUGGAUUUUAAAUAUAAAAGUGAAAAUAAAUAAAAAUAAUAUGAGAUACUAUUUUUAUUGAAUUUAGAGAAGUGAAAUAUAAGUUGGGAAUGACCUGUGCUGAAAUCGGAGCGAAAACAGAAGAUUUAAAAUUUUCGAUCAAACCCAACUAUUUCCAAAAAUUGCAUUUUGAACCCUAGGUUACAACUAUGCAAGAAAUCACCAAAUCCCUUCACGAAUUAAGCAUCAAUCAUCUAGAUAGCAUGCUAGGAUUCCUCUAAAUCGAUUUCUAGAGAACAAAACCACAUAUCUAGAAACCUACCAUGAGAGGGCUCAAGAAGCUCACCUCAAAAUUAGCUCCAAACAAUGGAGAAGAUAAAGAAGAUGAAGACGAUUCACCUACAAGCUUCAAUCUCCACCAAUUUUUUUAAUUUUGGAAGAGAUUUAGAGAGAGAAAUGGAAAUUCUCUCUCCCUUCCAUGCGUGUGUAUGCGUAUGUGUGUGUGCGGUUUGGGGCUGCUGCGGCUGAGAAAGGAGAAGAAGAAAAGGGAUUAAAUCCCUUUUUACAACUUAGUCCCUCAACUAUGCACUAUUCACUUCGAGCAGUUUAGAAACUGACAUUUUUCGCCGGAGCCCUUCUGAAUGUCCGUUUGAGCUCAAAUUUGACAGGCAGGCUCAGUUUUACUUAAUAAGUCCAAUGAAAUUUUAAUAUUUCAGUUUCGACCCCGUUUGGUCACCGAAAACUGUACCGAACUGUAAUCUUUAUCAGAUAGCUUUCGGAUUCUAUUUUUCACCUUCCGGGUGUCAGAAUGGCAUGAAACUUUAAAUCUAGCCUCAUAAAAAUAUUUCUGACAUCUCCGCCAAUUUUCAUAAUUUUCUGACACUGUACAUUUUCUGCUAAUUUAUUUACCCCGUUUCUUACAUCUCCUUCCUCAGCCGCAGUAGCCCCAAACCGCACACACACAUACGCAUACACACACGCAUGGAAAGGAGAGAGAAAACUUUCAUUUCUCUCUCUAAAUCUCUCCCAAAAUUAAAGAAAUUGGUGAAGAUUGAAGCUUGUAGGUGAAUUGUCUUCAUCUUCUUUAUCUUCUUCAUGGUUUGGAGCUAAUUUUGAGGUGAGCUUCUUGAGCCCUCUCAUGGUAGGUCUCUAGAUAUGUGGUUUUGAUCUCUAGAAAUGGAUUUAGAGGAAUCCUAGCAUGCUAUCUAGAUGAUUGAUCCUUAAUUCGUGAAGGGAUUUGGUGAUUUCUUGCAUAGUNAACCGAAGACCUUUAAUUUCCGGAUCGCAAAUCGGAGAUCGUUUGGGUGGUCGCGCGAGAGUUCGAGCCAAACCGGGUCGCGGGUGUCGCGGGCGGCCGAUUGCAAGUGACUACAAGCAAUCGGAGAGUAAGUUAAGGUGGGUUGUGUUUACCGAAGCGACUAGGUCGCCCUUUAUGUCUAAGAAACAUACGAAUUCAUAUUGAUGCAUGUUAAUAAAAUGACAUAGCUAAUGCAUGUGGACAAUGUGAUGCAAACUGCUAAGUAGAUGCAUAUGAAAUGAUGUAAUAUAGAAAUGCUUAUUGACAUAAUGACAUAGUUUAGAAAUGCUAAAUGUAAUGUGCAUGUUAAUAUGAUAAGAAACCAUGCUAGUGAUAUUUGCAUGAUAAUGCAUUGAUAGUACAUGCUAGUAAGUAAAUGCAUAUUAAUACAUAUGUGUAUAAUGAGCAUGUUGGAACCCUUGUAAUGUUCAUUGUAUUGAUUGCGACGCCUAGGACGUACAGGGAAAACUCUGUCCGUUCGGCGGUCUGUCGACGCGCCCGAACUCGGCCAAAUAAGUGGGGCCCGGGGCGUGACAGAUAAAGUGGUAUCAGAGCAUAAAGUAGAGAAUGGGCAAUGGUUUAGCUGGACCUAGGAGACCUAGGAUAGUAAACCAUAGGAGAAUAAGGCUCGUGAUAGACGAGGACUUGUGAGUUAUGGCGAAAGGUUCAUUGAUUGGGUUGUGUUGAAACCUCUAUGAUGGAUAUUAGAGGUAGACUCGAGGUGUGGUUUAUUCUCAACCGAGGGUGUUCAUGUUGGGCGCGCGACAACAUGAAACCGGGUGAUGAAAAUAGACGCCCUUGCGUGACUUUCGCCCGAUUUGAGUCAAUGUUAAGUUAUUUCGUACUCGACCUAGAGGGUUGAGAACUAAUCGAGUUGCCCUGUUUCAGGAAGCGAUGGCACCGCGUAGGCGACCUUCGUCUAGAUCGACGUGGGAUGGGACAGGUGGUGUCCCUGAGCAAUCCAAGGCGAGCGGAGACCCGGUGCUCCGCGAGCAGAUGAGUACGCUCAUGGGCGUAGUGCUGCGACAAGAGGAGCAGAUCAAGGAGCUCCAUGAGUUUUUUGCACGACAGACUGCGGCGGCUGCGCCGGUAGCAGCGCGCCAUGUACCGACAGGAAUGGCGAUGGAUUCAGGGGUAGUGGCCUCUGAUUCUGUGGAAAUGGAAGCGGAGAAAGAGCAGGCUUUGACGGCCCUAAUGACCUUCAAGAAGUUUGAUCCGCCUGUCUUCGAUGGAGAGAAUGUUGAUCCAUGGAUCGUGGAGAUGUGGAUUGACUCUAUGGAAACGCUCUUUGAGGAGCUGUACACCUUGGAGCGAGACAAGGUGCCCCUAGCUGUGCAUUGCUUGAAACAGUCGGCAAAGGUGUGGUGGAAAGGUAUUCGACGGAAUCGAUCGUCUAGUCUCCCUCCUAUGGCAUGGGAUGAGUUUCGGAGAUUGGUGUUUUCGGCUUACUUCCCCGACACUGAAAAGAGAAAGCUCCAGGACAUGUUCAGGAAGCUGCGGCAAGGAGACCGCUCUGUGAGAGAAUAUGAACGGGAGUUCUCUCGUAUCGUGAAUUGUGUCCCGGAUGUGGUACGGGAUGACGAGGAUAUGGCCGAUUGGUUCCUGCGUGGACUUCGACCAGAACGGGAAUUUUCCCGCAUCGUGAAUUGUGUCCCGGAUGUGGUACGGGAUGACGAGGAUAUGGCCGAUUGGUUCCUGCGUGGACUUCGACCAGAGAUUUACGAGAGGAUGCAAAUCUUCAAGCUCACAACUGAUGCAGACCGAACCCGACCCGUCUCAUCACCCGGAUUUCAGGUCUAUCAACGAAGGCGACGCAAGUUGGCGCCCAAACCUGCUAUAUGGAUCUGAAGAUUAUUCUUGAUUUACUCUGUUAUUUUUAAGAUUUUCUUGUUAGGAAUAUUUGUUAUAUUUUUCCUUUUAGAUAAAUCUCUAGUUAAGAUUUUUUCGGUUAUUUUUCUUUUAGAUAUAUCUCUAGNNNNNNNNNNNNNNNNNNNNNNNNNNNNNNNNNNNNNNNNNNNNNNNNNNNNNNNNNNNNNNNNNNNNNNNNNNNNNNNNNNNNNNNNNNNNNNNNNNNNCACGAUCAUAAAAUUUGAGGGACUACCAAAGGACUAUGUGAUGUGAUAGAGAUGUGCGGUUGUGAGUUACUUUGGAAGACAAGUGAAAUUAAUGAACAUAAUUACAUUUCUUCACAUAUCAGCCCACAAACAAGUGGCCAAACUGAGGUUGUUAAUCGAAGCCUAUGAGAUUUAUUACGUUGUCUUAGUGGGUGCAUCACACUAGGAAUGGGAUAGCGUUUUACCUAUGCCGAAAUUUGCCUACAAUAACUCAUUUUAUCGACCACUAGAUGAGUUCCCGUUUAGAGAUUGUCACUGGGUUACAAUCCUAGGACACCAGUUUGAACUUAAUUCCGUUACCUGUUAGACUAUAGGUCAAGCCAACAUUACUGAAGCCUUUUGUUCAAGAUGAUAAAGAAUGCCAUGAUAAAAUAAGAGAGCAAGUUGUUUAAAAACUGAGAUUAUGCAAAAUAAAGCCAAAAUGAACGUCGGCGCUGAAGGGAAACUUUUAACGAAGGAGAUAUGGUAUAUGGUAAGGCUCUCGACCAGAACGAUUCGCAUAGCGAUACAGCUGAAAAAAGCUACAUCCUGAGAAAUUUGGCAGUCCAUUCAAAAUCUUGAAACAACUAAAUCCAAAUCUUAUGUCUUUGGAUUUGCCGGCUAAUCAUCGGUUUUAACUCAACGGUCAAUAUCGAGGAUCUGACCGACUACCAUGAGCCUCUUUCCAUUGAGAAUCCCAUCUCCACAAAAUAUACUCCACGUCAACCUAAUUCCUCCACUUCCAUCCCUACCCCUAACGAGAAAGAAAAGAAGAAAGUCGAACAUUGUUCUCGUACGAUCGAGUUGUUAUUACAACGAAUCAGGUGAUUCGCGUUAAGCUUUAUGGUGAAAGUGGCAUCCGACCAGAUGAAGAAGUUGACAAUCUACCGGAACACGAGCUUAUAGACAUUGCUCCAGAUCUCGUAUGAGGACUACAUCAGCAUAAUCGUCAGUUAGUUCGCGCAUUUUUCCAAGCGGGGAGAGAUGAUGCAGACCGAACGCGACCCGUUUCUCAUCACCGGGAUUUCAGGUCUAUCGCGAAGGCACGCAAGUUGGCGCCCCGAACCCGCUAUAUGAUCUGAAGAUAUUUCUGAUUUUACUCUGCUUAUUUUUAGAUUUUCUUGCUUAGCGAAUAUUUGUUAUAUUUCCUUUUUAGAUAAAUCUCUAGUUAAUAUUUUUUCGGUUUUUUUCUUUUAGAUACUCUCUAGGUUGAGAUUUUUUUGGUUAUUUCUCGGAUGCUAGAUUAGGAUAUAAAUAACCUACAGUUUUAUGAGGGGAUGAUGAUUAUUGAAUAAUAAAAUUUUGAACCUUUCUUGCGAAAGAUUUUGGUGCAGAGUUUUUUCCGGAGGUUUCCGGUUUCUGCGAGGUCCUAGAGUUUUAAUAUUUGGGAUCUGAGUUCCUUUAAUUUUCUGCAAAUUUUGACUACUUAUUGUGGUGAGAUGGUUAAGAUUUUGAGAAUAAUAGAGAGGUGAGAGUCGAGAGAGAGACUUGCUGCAAGCAGGCUGAGGAGUAAAGAGGUGAAGACGAAGCUUGAAACGUGGAUCCUUGAGCGCCAGCUCCGAGGCGGCUUGGCUUCGUGCACAACUAUUCAGCGCCAUGGUGGCCUAUGUGAAGCAUCAGCAGAACUAUAUUGGAUGAAACCGGUUCACACACAAGCUAAGUAUUCCCCUUACACCUCAAAUUUACGCCAAAUAUCUAUGGUAAUAAAACUUGUCGUAAUAGAACGUUUUGUUUUAUAUUUUUUCUUCAAAAAAAAAAAAAAAUUUAUAGUAGAUCUCGUUUUUUUAUCGUCCUAAACUUUUCGAAAAUUGUUUUGUCUCUAUUAACUUGCAAGAUACUUGAUUAUUAUUGUUGGAGCGAAUUUCGGAUUAACGCAGGUAUUUACAAGCAUAGAUUAGGAGGAUGUUGCAAAUGAUUGUGGUGGAUGAUCUGGAUUAAUCGUAAUAGAUUUAUCAUGCAUUUCGACUGGGAUGUCGUAUGGUACAUAUCUCCUAUUGAAUCAACUUUCUCUACUUAUUAUUUUCUUUUCGAACGUUAUUCUUUAAAUAUACUCUCAUAAUAUCAUAUAUAUAUAUUUUUGCUCGUUUAAUUUUAUCUUAGCAAAAUUUUUGUCUACCACAUCUAAGAAGUUUUACAUGUAGGAUAGGUUUGACCCGUCCUGCAUCAACAACCUUCGCGGAGGUGUUGGAUCGAGCAUUGUUGGCAGAGCACGGCGAGACUUUUGUGCGUGAGAAGCACGAGUCUUCUGAACGUGCGGGGAGGGGUGAGGCCAUUGUCGAGCGGUUCGGGUGGGCAAUCAAGUUCUAGGCGCCACUCGAAGUUGUCCUCUACCCGGUCCUCCCCUGGAUGCGUGAUUUGCGGUGGCUCCCACUGGGCUCGGCGGUGCGUGCUGCGCAAUGGUAGAUGCCUUCGUUGUGGGCAGCCGUGCCAUAUGCGGGACGAGUGUCCGCAAGGGCAUGACCAGAUCCUGACACUGGCGACGACCUUUUCCUCUCCGGGACAGCCUGCAGGUGUGCCACCUGCGGCAUGGUCGGAUGAACGACCGUUGAGGAUGAUGCCACCGAGGGGCUCGCGGCGGGCGGCGGGUGACCGUGGAUACGCGACCCAGGUGGAGAAACCUACUACUGCUGACACUGUCAUGGCAGGUACGAUUUAAUUAAGCAAGCAUAUGCUUCUACCUAAUAUUGGACUGUUGCAUAGCAUGCAUUUAUCAUAUGGUCAGCAGCUACUAUCUACAUAUUGCAUAGUAGGGACCGAGUGGUCGGGUAGGUAGACACCCGAGCAUACUUGCAUCGUGAGAGUGUAGCGCCUGCUGGAGCAGAUAGAGAGUCAUGUAGCACUAACAAAUUGUUAGUGAUGGUUCCUGGACAAGAAAUGAGACUCGCGGUGAACGUGAAACGGUGAAGCGGCUCUCAAGGCAAUGAGAACCAGAUUGCGAGAGCUGCGCCGUGACGUUAAGGAUACCCUAGUAGUUCGAGCAUUUCGAAUAUGGUUCGGUAGAUCGAACAGUGAGAGUUGGAUCACUGUUGAGAAAAUAGUCGGAUAGUUAUCGAGCACGAGCAUGUGGGCCUAAUAGCACCCUGAGUUGAGGUGGGCGAGUAGUGCUCGUGUAGUCGGUGUGCAUAGGCAGGUGGCCUACUGCUUGGCUUAGUUGAAACGCUAUAGAGGCGUAGAGCGCUCGAGUAUAGGUACUCGUAGAGCAUGGAUUUGAUUCAGCCAAGAGUGAGAUGGCAGUAGCACCGCAGCAUUGCUAAGUGUGAAGCUGGCCAUGGGUCACUUGUGGGGCUAGCGGCUCGCACUAGAUACUUAGGAGCCGAUAGAGUGUCUAGCUCGGUAGAGCAUGUCGUGUAGGACGACGUUGGUGGAUAUUGCUUGGGGACGACCCGUGCCUGGACCAUUUGUGGACUGUGAAGCCUGGGCCCAUUGAGCAGGCGCAGUCAGCUGUGAGAGACAGCGGCCCGGUACCUAUAGGUAGGGCAGAGAGUUGGUCAGGACGGUAGUCCGAGCUUAGACCCGGGUGCGUGGAAUGCCACGUGUUGGAUCGUGAGAUCGAGUUUAGUGUGUUGUGACCCAACCCGAGGACUUGACGUGGUUUGGGGUCUUGGUUGUUCCUCUUUGGAGUGUGUACGAAUUCCCAAGUGAGAAUUUCGCCCGGAAGUUAGGAUUGGGUCUACAAUGCGAGCGAGAGACGCUAUGCGUAGUUGCGACGGGCCUACGUGGUGUUGGUGACCGUUGAUCCGCCUAUGGAAGCCGACGUAAUCGGUUUAGCCGAUAACUCCAUGGAGGAGUUGGUGCAAGGAGAUGAAUUCUCGAAAUACGAGAGUUGAACUUCGCUCGAGAUCAACUAAUUGUCGAGUGGGAGUGCUUCGCAAAAGCCGAAGAGGUCAAAUGCACCAAAAGUGCAUUGCAAUGGAGUCCGCGAGAGCAAAUGGUGCAAAAAUCUGCACUCGGCAGAUUUGCUCUCGGGGACCGGUCCCUGGCAGGGAAAGACCGGUCCCCGUAGUUGGUGAUUGCGGGGUUGCGUGAUGCAACCGGUCCCCGGGCCAGAGGAACCGGUCCCCGUAAGCGUAACCAGCGAGAAGAGGAGAUUGGCUAAGUCCUGCGAGAGCAAGCUCUCGGGGACCUGUCUCUGGUAGACAGACCGGUCUCCGGGGGACCGGUCCUCUAGGGGCAGACCGGUUCCCGUAGGUGUGUUCAGGCUGAAGGCUCUCAGGAACCGAUCCCUCAUCGGAAGGACCGGUCCCUCUACGCAAAAAAAUUGCCCAGGCAAGCUGGGUCAUAUUGGAAGAGUUGGAGAGCUUGAGGAUAAUGCUCUGUGGAUUGAGAUUCGAGAUGCGCCGGAGUGGGCCAUCUCUCAAUAGAGCAAAGAUCCAUAUGUAGUUGGAGCACUCGCGAUUGGUCGAUGCACCAAUGAUAUUGCUUCUAAGCAAUGCCGGUGAUCGAAUCGGAGUGUGUUCCCUGACAGGAAAGUAAAUGCAGAGAAGAGUUCUUGCAUACCAAGUGGUGAGUGAUGUUGUAGCGCGUAGAGUCGUUGAGUUUCGACUUGCGCUACCACCAAGAAUGACGAGACCCGUAAUGCACUUUUGGACUUACACACGGCAAAUGUGAGUGAAUCUAGUAUCACGUCCUCCGUAGUGGGCCUUUGGAUAGUUCCAAUGAGCGAAAGGCCACUCCGAGAUGCAAAAGUGCACUGUACCCUUUGUCACUCAAUAAAGAGAAUUAGAGUGUGAAUUGGGUUGGAGUGAGUUUCGGGGACGAAACUCUUAUUAAGGAGGGGAGGAUGUAAGGUAGCGGACUUCUAAAACUAUGAAGUUACGGUGUAUAUUUAAAUGGUUCCGGUGAGGUUGCGGUGGAAUGUAACAUACCGGAUUUUAAAUAUAAAAGUGAAAAUAAAUAAAAAUAGUAUGAGAUACUAUUUUUAUUGGAUUUAGAGAAGUGAAAUAUAAGUUGGGAAUGACCUGUGCUGAAAUCGGAGCGAAAAUAGUAGAUUUAGAAUUUUCUCUAAGAAACGGGGCAGAUAAAUUAGCAGAAAAUGCACAGUCUCAGAAAAUUAUGAAAAUUGGCGGAGAUGUCAGAAACAUUUUUAUGAGGCUCGAUUUAAAGUUUCAUGCCAUUCUGACACCCGGAAGGUGAAAAAUAGAAUCCGAAAGCUAUCUGAUAAAGAUUACUGUUCGGUACAGUUUUCGGUGACCAAACGGGGUCGAAACUGAAAUAUUAAAAUUUCUUUGGACUUAUUAAGUAAAACUGAGCCUGCCUGUCAAAUUUGAGCUCAAACGGACAUUCAGAAGGGCUCCGGCGAAAAAUAUCAAUUUCUAAACUGUCCGAAGUGAAUAGUGCAUAGUUGAGGGACUAAGUUGUAAAAUGGAUUUAAUCCCAUUUCUUCUUCUCCUUCCUCAGCCGCAGCAGCCCCAAACCGCACACACACAUACGCAUACACACACGCAUGGAAGGGAGAGAGAAAACUUCCAUUUCUCUCUCUAAAUCUCUCCCAAAAUUAAAGAAAUUGGUGGAGAUUGAAGCUUGUAGGUGAAUCGUCUUCAUCUUCUUUAUCUUCUCCAUUGUUUGGAGCUAAUUUUGAGGUGAGCUUCUUGAGCCCUCUCAUGGUAGGUCUCUAGAUAUGUGGUUUUGAUCUCUAGAAAUGGAUUUAGAGGAAUCCUAGCAUGCUAUCUAGAUGAUUGAUCCUUAAUUCGUGAAGGGAUUUGGUGAUUUCAUGCAUAGUUGUAAUCUAGGGUUCAAAAUGCAAUUUUUGGAAAUAGUUGGGUUUGAUCUCAAUUAACCCUCCGUAAACCUAAUUGCUAGGUAACGAAACGCGUUGGCGAAGACGGUUCGGCAAUCCGACGAGCCGUUACAAAGUUAUUAAAGAAACGGACGUUUAGGCUUCGUUUACGCCUGGAGGGCCGAGGCGACGUCGUAAAAUCGUGAAAACGGAUUUGAAGCACCGUGGCACAUAACCGAAGACCUUUAAUUUCCGGAUCGCAAAUCGGAGAUCGUUUGGCUAGUCGCGCGAGAGUUCGAGCCAAAAUUGGAGCAACAUGUUGGAUGCAAAAUUGUUGGGGCUGAUGAGAGAUGAGCAUACAUUUUGUAAUUGCGUAAAUGGGUCGUUCACUCCAACUGCUUGGAAGAGGAUGGUAAAUGUAAGGUACCGGACUUCUAAAACUAUGAAGUUACGGUGUACAUUUAAAUGGUUCCGGUGAGGUUGCGGUGGAAUGUAACAUACUGGAUUUUAAAUAUAAAAGUAAAAAUAAAUAAAAAUAGUAUGAGAUACUAUUUUUAUUGGAUUUAGAGAAGUGAAAUAUAAGUUGGGAAUGACCUGUGCUGAAAUCGGAGCGAAAAUAGAAGAUUUAGAAUUUUCGAUCAAACCCAACUAUUUCCAAAAAUUGCAUUUUGAACCCUAGGUUACAACUAUGCAAGAAAUCACCAAAUCCCUUCACGAAUUAAGCAUCAAUCAUCUAGAUAGCAUGCUAGGAUUCCUCUAAAUCCAUUUCUAGAGAUCAAAACCACAUAUCUAGAGACCUACCAUGAGAGGGCUCAAGAAGCUCACCUCAAAAUUAGCUCCAAACAAUGGAGAAGAUAAAGAAGAUGAAGACGAUUCA
rnacentral:lncRNA from 1 species